rnacentral:rRNA from 1 species
ACCNCAANAAGGGGUUUUUUCCCANAACAACCCCUAAAAGAUGGUUUUUUGUUUUCCGUUUGGGAAGGACCUGGGGUGCAUUAGCUUGUUGGUGGGGUAACGCCCUACCAAGGCGAUGAUGCAUAUCCGAGUUGAAUGACUGAUCGGCCACAAUGGGACUGAGACACGCCCCAUACUCUUACGGGAGGCAGCAGUAGGGAAUCUUCCACAAUGGGCGCAAGCCUGAUGGAGCAACACCGCGUGAGUGAAGAAGGGUUUCGGCUCGUAAAGCUCUGUUGUUAAAGAAGAACACGUAUGAGAGUAACUGUUCAUACGUUGACGGUAUUUAACCAGAAAGUCACGGCUAACUACGUGCCAGCAGCCGCGGUAAUACGUAGGUGGCAAGCGUUAUCCGGAUUUAUUGGGCGUAAAGAGAGUGCAGGCGGUUUUCUAAGUCUGAUGUGAAAGCGUUCGGCUUAACCGGAGAAGUGCAUCGGAAACUGGAUAACUUGAGUGCAGAAGAGGGUAGUGGAACUCCAUGUGUAGCGGUGGAAUGCGUAGAUAUAUGGAAGAACACCAGUGGCGAAGGCGGCUACCUGGUCUGCAACUGACGCUGAGACUCGAAAGCAUGGGUAGCGUAACAGGAUUAGAUACCCUGGUAGUCCAUGCCGUAAACGAUGAGUGCUAGGUGUUGGAGGGUUUCCGCCCUUCAGUGCCGGAGCUAACGCAUUAAGCACUCCGCCUGGGGAGUACGACCGCAAGGUUGAAACUCAAAGGAAUUGACGGGGGCCCGCACAAGCGGUGGAGCAUGUGGUUUAAUUCGCAGUUACGCGAAGAACCUUACCAGGUCUUGACAUCUUGCGCCAACCCUAGAGAUAGGGCGUUUCCUUCGGGAACGCAAUGACAGGUGGUGCAUGGUUGUCGUCAGCUCGUGUCGUGAGAUGUUGGGUUAAGUCCCGCAACGAGCGCAACCCUUGUUACUAGUUGCCAGCAUUAAGUUGGGCACUCUAGUGAGACUGCCGGUGACAAACCGGAGGAAGGUGGGGACGACGUCAGAUCAUCAUGCCCCUUAUGACCUGGGCUACACACGUGCUACAAUGGACGGUACAACGAGUCGCGAACUCGCGAGGGCAAGCAAAUC